rnacentral:rRNA from 1 species
AGUCGAAUGCGAAAAGUAGCAAUACUAGUAGCAUGGCGAAAGGGAUAGUAAUGCAUGAGCAAUCUACCCUCGACUCUGGGAUAUGCGGUUGAAAGACCGAGUAAUACUAGACGUCGUUUUCGGAGGACAUCCUUUGGAUACGAAAGGUCCGCCGGUCGAGGAGGAGCUCAUGUCCUAUCAGCUAGUUGGCGGGGUAACGGCCCACCAAGGCAAGGACGGGUAGCGGGUGUGAGAGCACGACCCGCAUCACUGGCACUGAGACACUGGCCAGACUCCUACGGGAGGCUGCAGUCGAGAAUCUUCGGCAAUGGACGAAAGUCUGACCGAGCGACGCCGCGUGGAGGAUGAAGGCCUUCGGGUUGUAAACUCCUAUUGGGAGGGAACAAAUUUUGAGUGACCUCCUGAGGAAGCACGGGCUAAGUUCGUGCCAGCAGCCGCGGUAAGACGAACCGUGCAAACGUUAUUCGGAAUCAUUGGGCUUAAAGGGCGCGUAGGCGGCGGUGUAAGUUGGAAGUGAAAUCCCAUCGGCUCAACCGUGGAAUUGCUCCCAGUACUGCAUCGCUCGAGGGGGAUAGGGGUCCGCGGAACUACCGGUGGAGCGGUGAAAUGUGUUGAUAUCGGUGGGAACGCCAGUGGCGAAAGCGGCGGACUUGACCCUUCCUGACGCUGAGGCGCGAAAGCUAGGGGAGCAAACGGGAUU